rnacentral:lncRNA from 10 species
UGGCUGGGAUGUGGACACAGCCCGACUGGGGCACAGCAAGGUGGUUAGGCACAGCCUGCCUGGCCCUCUGAGGCCCAGUGCAGCCAAUUUAACAGGGACAACAGGAGCCAGCCUGAGCGAGACAAACAGCCUGGGGGCUGAUAGGAGGGCCCGUCCUGCUAAUUACAGAAGUGAGGAGGCUGGAAGCUGGGGAAUCGCGAUGCUGGUGGACGGACAGCUGGCCACCUUUCAGGCUGUGCUGUGCUGGGGACAGCGGAGGGGUCAGUGCUGGAGGGCACUAGCCAGAGAAGGCACUUUUCGUGGAAUCUGGAUGAGCCACUGAUGUCCUUGAAACAGGAAGCUGUUUGGGGGUGAAGUAGUGGCUGUGAGGCUGGGGGUCCUCCAGGGAUAACAAUUCAAUAAGCGAAACUGAAACAACGAGAGACACGCAGCAACAACAUCAUUCUUGGCGACCUUAUUUUC